CAGAGAUCAGGAUACCAAUAAGGUCCUUUAAGAGUUAUGGUUGUGCUGAUUUAAUCCCAAAUUCAGAUUACUAAGUGGUAUCAAGCCAUUCAUCAAGCCAUGAAUGCAGAAAGCAAUUCUGGACUGGUAAGAGUCUUAGGCUCCUCACAGAAACAAACACAAACUCUCUCUAAAGAAAGGAGCAUGAGCCUCAAAAAAUUCCCCUAGGUAAUUUUCCACAAAACCCACCAUCAAAAUUUAAAAAGCACACAAAGAAACAAGGCACCAGGAACAAAUAUUAACAGAAACAACAGACAACCUGGAUAUUGGAAAUAUCAAAUAGAGACUUUAAAAUAACUCUGCAUAGUCAAGCACCAUUGUUCACACCUGUAAUCCUAACAACUCUGGAGGCUGAAGCAGGAGGAUCACAAGUUUAAGGCCUACCUUAGCAAGAUCCUGUCUCAAAAUAAAAAGGGUUGGGAAUGUAAUUCAGUGGUAGAGCACCCCUGGGUUCAAUCCCCAGUACUAAAAAAAAUAAAGUCUGAUAUCUAAAUAGCUGCUGUGGGAACCAAGAGACAAUAUGCUAAAAGAAAAUAACUGCCACCUAGAGUUUAAAGUCCAUUAAAAUAAAGACAUACUUGAACAAGCAAAACUAGUUUGCCUCUAGCAAUCUGUCAUUAAGGAACAUCUAAGAAAGUAAUCCCAGACAAAUGUAUAAGAAGCAGAAGAAAUAAAGACAAAUGUGGAAAAAAUCUAAAUAAACAUUGUACAAAACAAUACUUCUGUGAUGUUAAAUAAUAAAUAUAAUUUAUAUCUUAUUAACAUUAGUAUGGAAGAGAGAAAUGAGGCUUAAAUUCUAUAAGGUCCUUUCAUAGUCUAGAAGGAGGAUAACCACAUAGAUUAACUUCAGACUUUGAUACCUCAUGUCUGAAUAUUAUAAUUUCUACAGUGACCUAGAAAAGAGCACAAACAAUGCACAGCAUUCAAACAAAUAGGAGGGAAAUGGAUUGAUGAAAAGCAUUUAAUACAAAAGAGGUAAAAAAAAAAGAAGAGGAAAAAGAAACAGGAUUAGCAGAUCAAACAGAAAGCACACAAUAACAUAAUAGGUACAAACCUAACCUAAAUCAUUUUUAAUAUAAAUGGACUGUGUUCCAUUUAAAGGCAAACACUUUUAAAUUGCAUUUUUAAAAAUCCAAUAAGAUACUGUUCACAAGAAUUUAUAUCUACAAUAAGGAGACAAGUUGGAAAAUUAAAAAAUGAAAAAUAGUGCUCGCUUCAGCAGCACAUAUACUAAAAUUGGAAUGAUACAGAGAAGAUUAGCAUGGCCCCUGUGCAAGGAUGACACAAAUUUGUGAAACAUUUCAUAUUUUUUAAAAAGCUUCUUUUCAGCCAAAGAGACAAUCAGUGAGGUUAAUAGACAGCCUACAGAAUGGGAGCAAAUUUUUACCCCUCACACAUCAGAUAGAGCACUAAUCUCUAGGAUAUAUAAAGAACUCAAAAAUCUUAACACCAAAAAAAAAAAUUACCCAAUCAAUAAAUGGGCCAAGGAACUGAACAGACACUUCUCAGAAAGUGAAGUACAAUCAAUCAACAAAUACAUGAAAAUAUGUUCAACAUCACUAGCAAUUAAAGAAAUGCAAAUCAAAACUACUCUAAGAUUUCAUCUCACUCCAGUCAAAAUAGUAGCUAUUAAAAAUACAAGCAAUAAGUGUUGGUGAGAAUGUGGGGAGAAAGGCACACUCAUACAUUGCUUAGGGGACCGUAAGUUGGUGCAACCAAUAUGGAAAACAGUAUAGAUAUUCCUUGGAAAACUUAGAAUGGAACCACCAUUUGACCCAGCUAUCCCACUCUUCAGUUUGUACCCAAAGGGCUUUAAAAAAGCAUACUACAGGGACAUAGUCACAUCAAUGUUUAUAGCAUCACAAUUCACAAAAGCUAAAUUGUGGAACCAAUCUAGAUGCCUUUCAGUAGAUGAAUGGAUAAAGAAAAUGUGGUGUAUAUAUAUACAAUGGAAUAUUACUCAGCAUUGAAAGAGAAAAAAAUCAUAGCAUUUGCAGGUAAAUGGAUGGAUUUGGAGAAUAUAAUGCUAAGUGAAGUAAGCCAAUCCCAAAAAAAGCAAAUGCUGAAUGUUUUCUAUGAUAUAAGGAGGCUGAUUCAUAGUGGGGAUAGUGGA
rnacentral:lncRNA from 1 species